rnacentral:rRNA from 1 species
CAGUCGUACCUUCGGGUAAUCAGCCUUUUGGGUGUGAUUUUGUGGAGCGUGAGGAGUUAAACGCCUUCAUGCCUGCAUAUUCGUGCACUUUGGGUGUACUUGCCCGUGUGUAAGUUAACAUCAAUUUUGGUGGUCAUAAAAUGGCUGGAGGAAUGUAGCUUCGAUCUUGUAUUGAAGUGUUAUAGCCUUGGUAGAUGUGACGAUCGGGAUUGAGGAUUGCAACGGAUACCCGUUCGGGGCUACCUGUCCUGAUCUCUGAUUGUUGC